rnacentral:lncRNA from 1 species
GUUGGUUUCAAGAUCACGGUCUUCUUAGUAAAGCUGGGACGGCAGGUAGCCUAGUGGUUAGAGUGGAGGGACGGCAGGUAGCCUAGUGGUUAGAGUGUAGGGACGGCAGGUAGCCUAGUGGUUAGAGUGGAGGGACGGCAGGUAGCCUAGUGGUUAGAGUGGAGGGACGGCAGGUAGCCUAGUGGUUAGAGUGGAGGGACGGCAGGUAGCCUAGUGGUUAGAGUGGAGGGACGGCAGGUAGCCUAGUGGUUAGAGUGGAGGGACGGCAGGUAGCCUAGUGGUUAGAGGGGGGAGGCAGGUAGCCUAGUGGUUAGAGUGUAGGGACGGCAGGUAGCGUAGUGGUUAGAGUGGAGGGACGGCAGGUAGCCUAGUGGUUAGAGUGGAGGGACGGCAGGUAGCCUAGUGGUUAGAGUGGAGGGAUGGCAGGUAGCCUAGUGGUUAGAGUGUAGGGACGGCAGGUAGCCUAGUGGUUAGAGGGGG